UUCUUUCAACUCAGACUAAUAUAAGAAUAAUAUAAGAACUGACUGAAUAAAAUCUCUACAGAAAAUUACUGCAGGCAAGUAGAGAGAGCCCUACACAUGAAACAUCUGUGAGGUCGCUACCAUGAGCCUUUUCCUGGUACUCUCCUUAACAUUUAAAAGCGGCAUCAAUGGUCUUAAAGUUUGCAAUAGUCAUAUAUUAGAGAUUUUUACAUCAAGGAUUGAAGGCCAAAAGUCAGAAGGUCGGUUCUGGGCAUUCCAAAGAGAAGUCAGCCCACACGCCAGUCAGGUCCAUUCAUCACUUCUGAGAAUCCAUGCGUGGAUGCCAGUUUCAUACGUUGCUGCCCUGCACAGCACCGAUUAUUCGGCACCAGCGGUGCCCAGCCAAGGCGAGGGCCCUGCCGAGGGGCGAGCGCACCAGCACCCCAGGCCCGCGCCCCGGCGCCCCAGGACGGUGCCGCCCAGCUGCAGCCACAGGAGCCGCACGUGGCGUCUUCGGGUCUUUGUCCAGGAUUAGGGCCACGAUGGGGCGGCCAAGAGCCCCCGCCGCCGUCACCCGAGGUCACACAACUUUCAAAGCCGGCCCUGGAGCUGCCCCUUCACCCUUCCCGCCCCCCCACGUCUGUCACCCACGAGGCCUCCUCUUUCUUUAGACCCUGACUGAGGCGCCCUCCCCAGACCCCUCCCGCCGGCGGGCCCCUGCUCCCUCAGCCCCCCACCCCAGCCCGGGGCGGAUGCACAGUCCCUGGCAAGCCCGUGGGCCUUGGCCUUGGAGUCCUUUCUCAGUGGGUGCCGGGUUCUAGGUUGGGAACCGCCCCCGCCGCUGCGCUGGGGACCGGGGGCUGCCCCGCAGCAGCACGGAGACCACACCUGCGAGGGGGCCGGCGCCAGCCCCCCAGGCCCCCGGCCCCCCGGCUCCCUAGCUCCCCGGCCCCCGGCC
rnacentral:lncRNA from 1 species